UACAGAGGGUGCAAGCGUUGUCCGGAAUCACUGGGCGUAAAGCGCGCGCAGGCGGCUCGUCAAGCCUGACGUGAAAGCCCCCGGCUCAACCGGGGAGGGUCGUCGGGGACUGGCGGGCUUGAGGUCGGCAGGGGUUGGUGGAAUUCCCGGUGUAGUGGUGAAAUGCGUAGAGAUCGGGAGGAACACCCGUGGCGAAGGCGGCGACCUGGGUAGAUACUGACGCUGAGGUGCGAAAGCGUGGGGAGCAAACAGG
rnacentral:rRNA from 1 species